rnacentral:lncRNA from 1 species
ACCGUGUGGACAGGAACACCGUGGCGCUGACCACGCCCAUCGCAGAGCUACUCAUUGUGGCUCCCGAAAAGCUGGCUGAGGUGGGAGAGUUCGAUCCAUCCAAGGAGCGCCUGCUAGAGUAUUCCCGCCGCUGCUUCCUGGCACUGGACGACGAGACUCUCAAGAAGGUGCAGGCUCUCAAGAAGAGCAAACUGCUCCUGCCAAUCACCUACCGCUUCAAGCGGUGAUGCCGCCGCCCCAUACACCUCCCUGCCCAGCAGAGUGCCAGGCCUGGUUUCCCCGGGCGCCGCCAGGGCUAGAAGCUGCCCUUCGAGAGCACUAGGCCCGGUCUCUCGGCCGCACACGUUAGGCACCCCACCUCCAUUUCACUCCGCAAGGGCUGCCAGCUCUGCCUCCCUAGCCAGGAGUAGCCCAUCUGCAUCCCACGCGAAGACAGAGCAUUAUUCUGAGAGUUUAAAUUAAAGAGACAUGAAAAUUUUCAAUAAA